GUUCGUUUCUUAUCAUAUGCUAAAACUGGAACAAUACAGAGGUGAUUAGCAUGGCCGUGGCCAUGCGCAUGGAUGACAUGCCAGUUCCUGAAGCGUUCCAAAGUUUU
rnacentral:snRNA from 1 species